AGAAUCAACGCUGGCGGCGUGCCUAACACAUGCAAGUCGAACGAGAAAGUGGAGCAAUCCAUGAGUAAAGUGGCGACCGGGUGAGUAACACGUGACUAACCUACCUUCGAGUGGGGGAUAACCUCGGGAACCGAGGCUAAUACCGCAUAACAUCGCAAGAUCAAAGCAGCAAUGCGCUGGAAGAGGGGGUCGCGGCUGAUUAGCUAGUUGGCGGGGUAACGGCCCACCAAGGCGAAGAUCGGUAGCCGGCCUGAGAGGGCGCACGGCCACACUGGAACUGAAACACGGUCCAGACUCCUACGGGAGGCAGCAGUGGGAAUUUUGCGCAAUGGGGGAAACCCUGACGCAGCAACGCCGCGUGGAGGAUGAAGCCCCUUGGGGCGUAAACUCCUUUCGACCAAGACGAUAAUGACGGUACUGGUGGAAGAAGCACCGGCUAACUCUGCGCCAGCAGCCGC
rnacentral:rRNA from 1 species